rnacentral:rRNA from 1 species
UACGGAGGGGGCAAGCGUUACUCGGAAUUAUUGGGCGUAAAGGGCGCGUAGGUGGUCGUGCGCGUCGAGGGUGAAAUCCCCGGGCUCAACCCGGGACCUGCCUUCGAUACGGCGCGACUUGAGUCCGGGAGAGGGGAGCAGAAUUCCCAGUGUAGCGGUGAAAUGCGUAGAUAUUGGGAGGAAUACCAGUGGCGAAGGCGGCUCCCUGGACCGGUACUGACGCUGAGGCGCGAAAGCGUGGGGAGCAAACAGG